UUGCUGUGACAAAACCAGAAUGUUAUGAAAUUUAUGUCAUCGCUUGAUAAAAUUUCAUCUGGUGCGGUUACCUGAGCAA